UCAGACAGACACAGACAGAUACCGUAGAACAGAAAGAAAGGCCUCCCGUCCAGAGUCGUGUCAGCGUAAAGAAAUUCCACAGCCAACAAGAAGCCUUCUCGCCUCCUUGACUCCUUCCUCCAUCCUAUCGAGAACCAUGGGCAAGCUGUGCUGCAGCCAGGAAGAUGACGAGCCGGCGUUCAACCUUCUGGGGCUGCUCGUCACCGUCGUCCUCGCCUUGCUGCUGCUCAUGCUGUGCACACCUCCCCGGCGCAGGCGCUGCGUCGCAUACUACCCUCCUUGCUGCUAGGAACAUUCGAUUUCAAGGUAGGGACUAGCUAGGGAGGGCGUGGUCUUCUGGUGGGUGGGGGCGGGGAGGUGAAUAGGAAGGAGAUGGGCACCGAGCUAGGCUUCGAAUGCGGAGCUUAGCUAAAGUCCCAAGUUACUAUGAAAUAAAUUGCGCUGAGUUUGUAAA